GUGGAGGGUUCGAUUCUGGCUCAGGAUGAACGCUGGCGGCGUGCUUAACACAUGCAAGUCGAACGGGAUCCAGGCAGCUUGCUGCCUGGUGAGAGUGGCGAACGGGUGAGUAAUGCGUGACCGACCUGCCCCGUACACCGGAAUAGCUCCUGGAAACGGGUGGUAAUGCCGGAUGCUCCAAUGCGAUGCAUGUCGCGUUGGGAAAGAUUUCAUCGGUACGGGAUGGGGUCGCGUCCUAUCAGGUAGUCGGCGGGGUAACGGCCCACCGAGCCUACGACGGGUAGCCGGCCUGAGAGGGCGACCGGCCACAUUGGGACUGAGAUACGGCCCAGACUCCUACGGGAGGCAGCAGUGGGGAAUAUUGCACAAUGGGCGCAAGCCUGAUGCAGCGACGCCGCGUGCGGGAUGGAGGCCUUCGGGUUGUAAACCGCUUUUGUCGGGGAGCAAGCCUUCGGGUGAGUGUACCCUUC
rnacentral:rRNA from 1 species